AGAGUUUGAUCAUGGCUCAGAUUGAACGCUGGCGGCAUGCCUUACACAUGCAAGUCGAACGGUCUUUUCUAUGGAAGCUUGCUUCCACUGAGAAGAUAGUGGCGGACGGGUGAGUAACACGUGGGUAACCUGCCCAUAAGAGGGGGAUAACAUCCGGAAACGGGUGCUAAUACCGCAUAGUUUUCUUGAUCGCAUGAUCGGGAAAGGAAAGACGGCCUUUGUGCUGUCGCUUAUGGAUGGACCCGCGGCGUAUUAGUUAGUUGGUGAGGUAAUGGCUCACCAAGACGAUGAUACGUAGCCGACCUGAGAGGGUGAUCGGCCACAUUGGGACUGAGACACGGCCCAAACUCCUACGGGAGGCAGCAGUAGGGAAUCUUCCGCAAUGGACGAAAGUCUGACGGAGCAACGCCGCGUGAGUGAAGAAGGUUUUCGGAUCGUAAAACUCUGUUGUCAGAGAAGAACAAGUUGGAGAGUAACUGCUCCAGCCUUGACGGUAUCUGACCAGAAAGCCACGGCUAACUACGUGCCAGCAGCCGCGGUAAUACGUAGGUGGCAAGCGUUGUCCGGAUUUAUUGGGGGUAAAGCGAGCGCAGGCGGUUCCUUAAGUCUGAUGUGAAAGCCCACGGCUCAACCGUGGAAGGUCAUUGGAAACUGGGGAACUUGAGUGCAGAAGAGGAGAGUGGAAUUCCAUGUGUAGCGGUGAAAUGCGUAGAUAUAUGGAGGAACACCAGUGGCGAAGGCGACUCUCUGGUCUGUAACUGACGCUGAGGCUCGAAAGCGUGGGGAGCAAACAGGAUUAGAUACCCUGGUAGUCC
rnacentral:rRNA from 1 species